CUGCAACCAUAAAAUUACUAGAACAAGUCCAAAACUCGACAAACCUUCCGUCUUUUUAUGAUAUAAGUAAAGCACCAGAUAAAAGACUAAUAUCUAGAUACCCGAUUUGGGCAAUCAAGAACACAACAGAUAACCAACAAAAUAUGUGGAAAAAAUGAGAAUGUAGUUAAUAGUUCCCUCAUCAAUGACUCAACUCAGAGAGUUCCAGUAUUUGAACUAACUCGUGCAAUGUGAUCUGCUUUAAACUGUAUCAGGACAAAACAGGGAAAAUUUAAGUUCCUCUUACAUAAAUGGAAAAUGUCAGAUACUCCACUCUGUAAGUGUGGGCAGAAUCAAACCAUAAAACACAGUCGAGAUAUGUCCACGGACAAAAUAUGAAGGAGGGAUAGAAGAGAUCCACAAAGGCGGCAGUGAGGCACAAGAUUGGCUACGCAACCUAGAAGUACACCUUUAGAAAUGGGCUAAUUUCUGUAUAUAUCGUGUAUUUGUUACAACUUUCAGCCACAC